CGCGCCGCCGCCGCCAAUGGCCGCGCAGUCCGCCUGCCGCCGCCCGCCGCAGCCGCUUUUGUGGGGCGGCGCGGGCCCGGGCGCGGGAGCAGGUGCCCGGCAGCCGCCCGCACCGCACCGCACCGCGUAGCCGCCUCGUUCGCAUCCCGGGGAGGAACAAACCGCAAGGCUUCCCGAGCAAGAAACUCCGACAUCGUCUAGAGCCUUUCCUGGCCGGCAGAGCGCCCUGCUGACAGGGACAGUCCCGCCGGGCCGGGACUUCGUGCCCUGCCCCGCCAUGGGACCAGCCCGGAGCGCGGGUUUAGGGUCGUCGUUGUUUCCUAAAGUUCAAAGAUUGCUUUGUCUCAGUGGACGUCUGACCUGUGUUCGUUCUGGAUGUGCUUUCAAAAAAUCAUCACCUGGGAUUGUAAAUGAAGAGCUUAGAAACAAACGACUGGAACAGAGUUAUUUUCUAACUGGCAGAUCUGUUUACAAAGUUGAUCUUCAGAGAUAAAAACUUUUAUGGAGUUUUAGCAUCUUCUCUGGGAAACUGAAUGUCAUCCAAAACUGGGCUCCAGUGCAAAUCAUUAUAAAUUUUGGUAAAUGCUUUACUUUAUUUUAUUGUGCUGUUCCAAUUGUGUGAUUCGUAAGAUUUUUUACCUGGGAUCUCUCCCUCUCUGAAAACUGCCAUAAAUAAAACUUUAUUCAUAUA